rnacentral:rRNA from 1 species
UACAGAGGUCUCAAGCGUUGUUCGGAUUCAUUGGGCGUAAAGGGUGUGUAGGUGGCGCGCUAAGUCGGGUGUGAAAUUUCGGAGCUUAACUCCGAAACUGCAUUCGAUACUGGAGUGCUUGAGGACUGGAGAGGAGACUGGAAUUCAUGGUGUAGCAGUGAAAUGCGUAGAGAUCAUGAGGAAGACCAGUGGCGAAGGCGGGUCUCUGGACAGUUCCUGACACUGAGACACGAAGGCUAGGGGAGCAAACGGG